AGUGCAAAACAUGUAAGCAUGCUAGAACUAUAAGUGAUCAAGACUAUUAAACUACAUGCUAUCAUUGCUAUGGCGAGAGAGAAUCCCUUCCAAGUCUUCCAGACCAAGCUCACCAUCCAGUUAACCAUUUUUGUUCCCCAAGCGAUCAUUUGGAAAGUCCAAACCAGUUCUGUGGUCUUGCCAAAUACAACUUUGCUGUUUCUCCAUCAUGAUAAGAAUCACCAACGAUACUGGAAAUGGGAGUGGCCUCAAUCAAAAUUCGGCGCGCGUAACAACCUAACCACUCUAAAGUUGGUGGCUACGGCCCUGCUUACCAUCAUAAUUAUUUAGUUCCUAUACAUGUAAUGUGAUCUGGAUUUGGUUACAUUUCUUUUGUUCUUUUGUACAUCUAGACUAUAAGGUAAAUGUUGGUAUAAUGAGUCACCUAAGCUUAAUUAUAAAUUUCUCUGGAGAUGAUCGGUAAAAUGUACGCUAUAAUACAAUUAAGAUAUGGUGAUUAUGAAAAUCAGGUUAUUUCCCAAUUAUGUCACUUAAAUCGUAAUUUAAUUGUAAAGAUGUACUAAAUGCAAAUUUUGGGGAACGAUGGUAUUAUCAUAGAUAGUGUAUAGAAAGAGGGAUUGGAAGUGGGCUUAUCAAGUGUGUGUAAUAAACGUAAAGGCCAGUGGACAAUCCAGGCUUCGAUUAAUGCAGCUACAAGCGCUAAAUUACGCACGUUCAGAGAUACCAAAGAUAAGGUUUUCUCCUAUUCUUAGACAAAGGGUUAGAGAAUGAAUACCUAGAUGACUGGGACACUGGGAAAAAUCGGUUUCUAGCCGUAAGGAGCUUAAGUGCACUGGCUGCAACAAGAUGCUGUAGUGAUGCCACAAGGACUGAAGUUCACAGUCAGUCAAAUCAUUCAUUGACAUGAUAGGGGACCUGUUCAUCCUCCCUGACGCAAGUGCCUUUCUGAGUGAGCGAAUCGGCUAGAACCCUCUCGAAGUGUUUAACUACAUUUCUAUUUGAUGCACAUAAUUAUUUUUUUACAUGUGAUCAAACAACCAUAAUUAUAAUUAUGAAU